CCUACGGGAGUCAGCAGUCGAGAAUCAUUCACAAUGGGGGAAACCCUGAUGGUGCGAAGCCGCGUGGGGGAAUGAAGUUCUUCGGAUUGUAAACCCCUGUCAUGAGGGAGCAAAUUAAAAAGAUAGUACCAGAAGAGGAAGAGCCGGCUAAACCUGUGCCGGUAGCCGCGGUAAUACAGAGGUCUCAAGCGUUGUUCGGAACCAGUGGGCGUAGAGCGUGGGUCGGUUGUUUCGUAAGGCGUGUGUGAAAGGCGCGGGCUCAACCCGCGGACGGCAAAUGAUACUGCGAGACUAGAGUAAUAGAGGAGGAACCGGAAUUCGCGGUGUAGCAGUGAAAUGCGUAG
rnacentral:rRNA from 1 species